ACAGAGGGGGCAAGCGUUGUUCGGAAUUACUGGGCGUAAAGGGCGCGUAGGCGGCCUGCUAAGUCGAACGUGAAAUCCCUCAGCUUAACUGGGGAACUGCGUCUGAUACUGGAUGGCUUGGAUCCGGAAGAGGGAUGCGGAAUUCCAGGUGUAGCGGUGAAAUGCGUAGAUAUCUGGAGGAACACCGGUGGCGAAGGCGGCAUCCUGGGCCGGUAUUGACGCUGAGGAGCGAAAGCCAGGGGAGCAAACGGGA
rnacentral:rRNA from 1 species